CGACUUGCACAGUUCCGAAAUUUCACGAUAAUAUCGAUAAUAUCGCGAUAUUAUCAAUAUUAUCGAUAUUAUCGCGAAAUUUGGACGAAAACCCCUUGGAUAUCACUUAAAAUAUCGGAUUGGGGAAAAACCGAUAAUAUCAAGAAAAAUAAUGGUCACAUUUUCGUACCUUUUCAAGAUUUUCACAGCAUAUGUUGACUGAAUAUUUAAGAACAAGUCAAGAAAUUGUUUGUCAUGUAAUGAUGACGUAAUCACAUGCGUAACUUCUUCAUACAUCUUCUGUUGGUUGUUAUCGUUAACCAAAAGCAAACUUUCACAAACUCGUGGGCCCCAGUGAAAAGUUCCAAUCUUCCAUUUUUAGAUAGCGUCACCUUCCGCAGUCAAAACGGCGCGUGUGUCUUUCGAAUC
rnacentral:lncRNA from 1 species